rnacentral:lncRNA from 1 species
UUGCUGGUGUGGUAUCAACUUGGGGGGGUGGGAGUGUAUAUGGCGUAACUAAAGGUACCCUUUUAUUUUCCUUGAAAUACAUAUUCCAUAAAUUGAUUGGAGGUUAAAUGUUGCCGUGGAUCGAUCUCUUCUUUAUUCAAUUUAGGAGCAAUGAAUCAAUUGGCCAAAAACUUGGCUUGUGAGUGGGCAAAAGACAACAUUAGGAUCAACAGUGUUGCACCUUGGGUCGUCAGAACCCCUCUUGCUGAACCUGUAAGAUACAUUCAUAGAUGAAUGAUUUCGAAUGUGCAAAUUAACCUAAUUGAUUUAGAGGUACGGUACUGAUUUUUAUUUUUCAAAUGCAGAUGUUCACUGACGACGGAAAGUCGUUACUGGAGGCUGUCAUAUCUCGAACCCCAUUGGGACGUAUAGGAGAGCCUGAAGAGGUGUCUGCCUUGGUGGCGUUUCUAUGCCUUCCUGCAGCCUCAUACAUAACAGGCCAGACUUUUUGCGUCGAUGGAGGGAUGACUAUCAAUGGCUUCCAGUUUCAAGCAUUAUGCUGAGUAGGCCUCAUCAUGGGCCGGGCUAGGGCCGGCCCUAUCCUAAAUUUUAGGGCUUAGGGUAGGGUCAGGAAGGUCUUUGAUUUGGUCAACAAUAUUUAGGGCUGGGUAGGAUCGGACCGGGGCUCAAAUAUGUAAGCCCUUGCCCGCCCUUAAAGCCCAUUUUGCUAGGGCUAAUAAGGCCGGCCCUGAAUAGGGCUAAAUAGGGCUGAAAGGGCCGAAUAUGUCGUUAUUUUGUUUAACGAAAUAAAUUCAUGAGUUUUAAUUUUUUUCCCUCAACAAUUACCUCAAAGGAUAUAUGUGAUACAAGACCCUAUUUUUAGUCAUAUUUAACAUACAUAUACAUUAUAUUUAACUUAAGACAUCUAUAAUUAUUAAUCUAAGUAGUUAUAUUCAUAUAUUUCAUUAACUAUAUCUCUAAAUCACCAAAAAUCAAUCGUUAUUUAACAAAAAAAAAAACAAAUUAAAGAAAUAAAACUUACAAGAUUAGUUGUAUUGUACAAAAAUAAGAAACAUAUUAAAAAAAUUAGAAAAUAAGUAAUUAUUAAGGCCUAAAGGACGGACUUUUAGGGCCGGGCCGGGUUUGACCCUAAAUGGCUCAAUAGGGUAGGGUCGUAGGGUAGGGCCGGGUUUCAUUUGCUUGACCCUUGCCCUACCCUAAUUGAAAAGGGUUAGGGCCGGUCAGCCCUAACGGAGGGCCGAGUAGGGCUUCGGCCCUAUAGGGUAGGACGGGUUUUAGAGCGGGGUAGGGCCAAAUGAUGAGGCCUGUUGAGAUUUGCAUAUGCAAGACUGCUCAAGAUAAUGGCUUAAUUUAACCUAAUUUGCCAACUAGCUAGCUAUGUACACGUAAACCUCAUCUAUCCUUGAUUGAUUGGCCAUCAAUAAUUUGGUGGAAGAUAAUCGAGAUAUUGUUCGUCUUCAUGCGUACGUGCAUAUCUUUUUUUGUGGGUCUGAAAUCUUUAGCUUUCACAGUUGGCUUGGUGAUCAGUAUUGGAAAACCAUAUCAUUUGUCAUUAUUGAUCAUUGGUCAUUGCAACAAUGAAAAAGAUGGUGUUGAUGAAGUAGCAUGAGGUUCACAUCUAAAAUCAAUUGAUAAUAGAUGAAGUUGCUCAAACUCUUAUAAAUCCACAGACAAUGUCUCAUAUUCUUGAUGUGAGAUUGAUAUCUCAAUAGAUGCAUUGAUAAAGUUUGAACAAGCAAAUUCGCUAAGAUUAAUCCACUGAGUCAUAUGCAAUAAAGUUGGUCCGACAUAUGCAAUAAAUUUAAAAUAAUUAUACACACACGUAUAGUCAUAAAGUUGAUCAGAAGCUCUAUUUAUACCCUUUUCGUAUUUGCAUAUGUCUUCAAAAUUUGGCCAUCGAGAUAGAAAAGAAAGAAACAGCUAGAGAAGGCUGAGCAAAUCGAUCAAGUAAAUAUUCAUGUUAGCAAACACACCAUAGAUAGAAGAUGGUCGCUUGAAGGAAUGACUGCUCUUGUCACUGGUGGAACUAAAGGCAUCGGGUUAGUCGAUCUUCUUCUUCAAUAAUCUCACUAGGGUUUCAUUUGUAUUCAAACUCUAAUCUUUUGAGUCAUGAAUUUCAGUGUGCAUCAAACAACGCUGUCUUUCAUAUAUCUGAAAUAUAGUUUUGUUUUAAUUUUUAUACCAAAGAAUCACAUAUUGACAUAUACAAAAUACAAUAAUAUAGUUUUACGACCUCAUGUAUGUCAUCGUUAUUUAAAUGUGCUAUUGUGGAGGACUUGGCGAGGCUAGGUGCAAAGGUCCAUACUUGUGCUCGGAAUGAAGUCCAACUCAAUGAGCGAUUGAGUCAAUGGAAGACCAAGGGUUUUAAAGUCACUGGUUCGGUCUGUGAUUUGGUCUCAAAGCCCCAACAAGAGGAGCUCAUGUACAAGGUCUCAUCAUUGUUCGAUAUAUGGGAAACUAAACAUCCUUGUAACUAUUCCAUUUCUAUCUAACACUACUAGUGUUUACCUGGUCAGUUAGUGAUUCAUGUUCAAUCACUAUUAUUUUAUAAGUGUCCAAACGUACUUGUAAUUGAUUAUCCAUUUCCCAAUUUUUGGCUGAACAAAUAAACAAUGCGGGAACCAAUAUAUGAAAGCCCACAACUGACUACACAGCUGAAGAUUACUCAUUUCUUAUGGGAACCAAUCUUGAAUCUUCUUAUAGUAUGUGCCAACUCGCACAUCCUCUCCUCAAAGCUUCAGGAGCUGGUAAAAUUGUUCUUAUAUCAUCUAUUGCUGGUGUGGUAUCAGUUGGGGGAUGUGAUAGUAUCUACUCUGCCAGUAAAGGUCUUUUUCCAAAACCUAGUUGUUUACUUUCGAAUUAAUAUUAAGUAUUUUGUUAUGAUAAAUUGAAGGUUAAGAUCUAUGGAUCUUCUCCACUUUAUUUCAGGAGCAAUUAACCAAUUGGCAAAAGUCUUGGCUUGCGAGUGGCGAAAAGACAAGAUUAGGAUCAACAGUGUUUCACCUGGGUUCAUACGAACUCCCUUGACUGAAGAUGUAAUACCAGUGCUUCAUUUCUUUCGGGCAUUUCUUAGUCUUGCCGAGAAUUCAUUUUGCCUUACGUUUUUGUUAUAUAUCUGGAUCCUCUGCUUGUCAUGUAUUUACUUUGUUUAUCUUUGUUUUUUACAUUUCAGAUUCUCAAUGUUGAGAUAUGAAUCUCACAUCGGGAAUAUGAGACCUUGUAUGUAGGUUUAUAAGGGUUUGAGCCACUCCACCCAUUGCCAAUUAGUUUUGGAUGUGAACCUCAGACUACUUUAUCAUGGUAUCAGAGCAAGUUACCCACAUCCACAUGUGAAGCCCAAAGGUCACACGCACUCCAUUUUACCCAAAAUGUUGUCCAUGUGUUAGGCUUGUAAAUUCGUCAUACGUGCGGGGGCGUGUUGAGAUAUGAAUCCCACAUCGGGAAUAUGAGACAUUGCCUGUGGGUUUAUAAGGGUUUGGGCCACUCCACCCAUUGCCAAUUGGUUUUGGAUGUGAACCCCAGACUACUUUAUCACUCAAUAACCAAACAAUGCUUAAGGCUAUUAACACUCGAACACCUUUAGGACGCCCUGGUGAGCCGGAAGAGAUUUCUUCCUUUGUGACAUUUUUGUGCAUCCCUGCAGCUUCAUACAUAACUGGGCAGACUAUUUGCAUUGACGGAGGGAUGACUGGUAAUGGCGUAAGCUUAUGUCGUCAAGGUUAGCACGUCCUUGAAUUCGAAACAGCCAAAUUUGUUGUCACAGUACAUUUUUAAUAUCAAUGGAUAGUCCAUAAUAAUGUCAUAAAUUAAGCUCAACUUCAUACAUUGCAUCUUCGUUGUCUAAGGUUUAAUUAGGUGAACUUACCUAUCUGCCUCAGUUAAAUCUAUGUUAGUCACAAAAGAACUUGACAUCAUGCCAUCAUGCUUUCCUGCAAGCUACGGAGGCAAAGGGUGCGAAAAAAUCAAAGAGGUUGCUUGUAGGGGGUUUGUCUACUAUGGUGAUCGGUAUGCUAUACUUACCCCAAAGAUGUUGUUGUGCAUGUGCUUACAAGAGGGUGGUGGGGUAGGAAUGUUGAAGAAACUUUGCCUAAGAAUUGAAUAUAGCAUACCCAUCACUAUAGUUAGUAGAAUUUUCCCGCUUAUAUGAGGUGUGCUCCGACCAAGUCUCUGACUAACUGCCUCUUCUAUCACUGAUAGAUGAGAUUUUAAAGUAUAGUGAAUAAUGAUUAUCAAUGUUAAUCUAUUUUAUUUUGACAUCGGUUUUGAAUUUGGUUUUUUAAAGCAUAUUUAGCAACGUUAAACAUUUUUAAGUUAAAGUUUAGUCAAAUUAGCUAAAAUGUCAUUUUGGCUAGCCACUUUAGAAAUACUGAUGCAUCAAUGCUCUUUAUUUUAGCUAGAUUACAUCAACUAAUGAAGGAUAAAGUGUAGAGACAAAGAGAUAGUAAGAGAAUUAUCUUCUUAUUCAUUGAUAGGAUCCAUUUAUAUAGGGAAUUACACAAUACUAAUAUGGUAAGGAUAUGAAUACAUAGAUAUAGUCUAACUACAUAUUCUAUUGACAUAAGGCCAAGACACACAUAAAGAAUAUCUAGAAAGAUACAGAAUAUCCUAGAACUCAACAUUAUUCUUUAAAUAAAAAUUAAAUAGUUCAAAUAUACUUAUCUAGAGAAAUUUUGAUAAAUGACCUAUUUUUUAGGUGUGAAUUGAUUUUUGACCGUGUUUCUCUAAAGAAUUGAAAAAUAACCAUAUAAAGGAAGCAAAGGUCCCAAAUACCCUUAGCUGAAUUUAUCUCUUUGUAAAUUUUCUUCAUCGUUGAAUCAGAUCGGAUCAAGGACUAUAUUCACACAGAACUUUUUAGGGCUCUUGCUAGCACUCAUCGAUCUCCUCCAAAAGGGCCAUCUUCAAUUGUGUAUAUAUGGAGUGUCGAAUCCGUCCUGUGUUGUUUGACUCAUGAAUUUUUCUUACUCUUUUGUUAACAAAAAAAAGUCUGAGAAUAGAAUGCUGAUAUGAACACGUUCAUGUUUGAUUAGUUUGUCGUAAAACCAAUGAAAUUCCCAUCACAUGGAUUGAAUGAUACCUGAAUAACAUACAAUGAUCCCUCACUAAAGAUUUAGGAUCCAAAUUUUGAUCAUUUAGUGGUUACAUGUUUUCUUUUCUGUUUUUUCUUCUAAACAAAUGGUGACUUGUUUAUGUUCACUCUCAGAAUUUAGGCACCCAAAUUUUGUUUAAUAUGUAAUUGCAAAUCAAGUGAUGCCGAUUACUUCUCUGGUAUUCAGGCUUUAGCCUUUAUCGUUUAAUCAAUUUAACUUCUGUGUCCAGCAAUUGUACUACAUACCGGAGCAAUGGACUUGGAAGAUCUGUUCGGGCCUUGGGGAAUCAGAAGGGAUGAAAGCUUUUUCGUUAAAUCAGAAAGUUGGUGUAUAUAGUAUAUGAAUGUACACUGUUAAGUCUAAAACUUAAUGUCAUUUUCUGUGUUACUUCUUGCCCUUCUCUCCAAUUUUCCCAGUAGAUAUUUUGGUGUAUUACAUUUCUGUGGACAGAAACAAAUUUGACAUGCAGCCCCAGACAUAUUUGAAGCAAACAACGACGAUGACUUGCCUAAUCUUUCAGACCAAUGAAAUACAAAACGAUUACCUCAUCUUGAAUCCUCGACAUCAAUCACCAGUCCUCUACUUUCAUAUUGCUGCAAGUAACAGCAGAGAGAGAUGGCUCAAAAUGGCGGAGGCAGAAGAUGGUCUCUUGAAGGAGUGACUGCUCUUGUCACUGGUGGAACCAAAGGGAUUGGGUUAGUCGAUCGCUCAUUAUCCUGCACACAAAUUUAGUGCUUUAGCUAGACCAUCUUCUACGAGUAGCUUACUAGGAGAUGUUUUGCUUCUAGGUAUGCAAUUGUGGAGGAAUUGGCUGGACUAGGUGCAAGUGUAUACACUUGUUCUCGAAAUGAAGCCCAGCUCCAUGAAUGCUUGAAUCAAUGGAAGAAGAAGGGUUAUCAUCAAGUCACUGGUUCAGUCUGUGAUGUGGCCUCAAAAAUCCAGAGAGAGGAGCUAAUACACAAGGUCUCAUCACUGUUUCAUGGGAAACUUAACAUCCUUGUAAGUACUUUAAUCAUCAAUAUACACAAGUUCAGUACUAAUAGCAUGGUAGUUUGCGACAAAUGUAUCCUGUUUACUUCUACAUCAUCAAAAUUUGUAAGGUUUUCAUAAAAAAUGAGUACACAAGUCUAAUACUCGAUCGUAUGAUGAUGGGUUUAUCGAGGCUAUAAUGACAGACCACCUGAGAUUAGUUAAGAGAAGAUAUAAGAAGAGAAUCAAAUCUACUUGUUAAUCUAUAUAUAUCGACCUUGUAGGUAAACAAUGUUGGAACUACUCACGGACCAACGCCAACAACUGAGUGCACCGCUGAAGAGUACUCAUCCAUAAUGAAUACCAAUCUUGAAUCUACUUACAAUUUGUGCCAACUAGCACAUCCUCUUCUCAAAACUUCAGGAGCUGGUAACAUUGUUUUUAUGUCUUCUGUUGCUGGUGUGGUAUCAAUUUGGGGGGGUGGGAGUGUAUAUGGCGCAACUAAAGGUACCACUUUUAUUUUCCUUGAAAUACAUAUUCCAUAAAUUGAUUGAAGGUUAAAUGUUGCGGCGGAUUCAAUUUAGGAGCAAUGAAUCAAUUGGCCAAAAACUUGGCUUGUGAGUGGGCAAAAGACAACAUUAGGAUCAACAGUGUUGCACCUUGGGUCAUCAGAACCCCUCUUGUUGAACCUGUAAGAUACAUUCAUAGAUGAAUGAUUUCGAAUGUGCAAAUUAACCUAAUUGAUUCACAGGUACGGUACUGAUUUUUAUUUGUCAAAUGCAGAUUUUGAAUGACGACGUAAAGAUAAUGGAGGCUGUCAUAUCUCGAACCCCAUUGGGACGUAUAGGAGAGCCUGAAGAGGUGU